GCUAACUCUGUGCCAGCAGCCGCGGUAAUACAGAGACUCCAAGCGUUAUUCGGAUUCACUGGGCGUAAAGGGUGCGCAGGCGGUCAGGUGUGUCAGAUGUGAAAGCUCCGGGCUUAACCCGGAAAUUGCGUCUGAAACUAUUUGGCUAGAGUAUUGGAGAGGGAAGCGGAAUUCUCGGUGUAGCGGUGAAAUGCGUAGAUAUCGAGAGGAACACCAAAGGCGAAGGCAGCUUCCUGGACAAUGACUGACGCUCAUGCACGAAAGCGUGGGUAGCGAAAGGGAUUAGAUACCCCAGUAGUC
rnacentral:rRNA from 1 species